AUCAUCACUACCAUCAUUAUCAUCACUAUCACCAUCAUAAUCAGAUUAUGAUGGUGAUAGUGAUGAUAAUGAUGGUAGUGAUGAUAAU